AUUAGAAUAGAUCAAAAACAUGAAUAAUGCAGGCAUUUGCAAAUCACACUACUCGUCGGCCCCGACGCUGGCCAGGAAACACCUGAAGCAGUUGCAGUGGGGCUCAGGGUGACUGGAUCGGGUGACUGGGUCAUGAUGACAACAAAUUUGGUUAAUGGGAAUCCCAGGUCAUAUCCGAUGGUAUCAAACUACAGCUGCUGCCCGCUGUCUUCCACAGGUCUUUCAAGUCAAAUGUCUCAUGCCAGUCAAAAUUCCUGCCAGGAAAUCACACUCUAUUUCCCUAGUUCUUUUUUUUUUUGAGAGGGAGUUUCACUCUUGUUG
rnacentral:lncRNA from 10 species